ensembl:lncRNA
AAAAAAAACAAACAUUUGAAGCGACUGGUUAAUUCUCACAGCAAUAUACAAAAGACCAAAGCCUAGACCAUUACAAAAUGUUUUAAAAUAAAAUAAUAAGCACUAUAAUUGGAUAAUAAGUGCCACUGUAAAUGUAACUGCUCAAAUACUUAUGUUCUCUCUGCUUUGGUCACUCUGUUGUACUAUACAAAAUAUACUCCAGUCCCUCUUCCCCUCCCAAUACCCUGCUUUUCUAAUUUCCUAAAACACAGUGCUUUCAUAGUCUUUCCCAUUGAUUUAUAUAAUUUAUAGUUACUUACAAGUCAGACAUGUUUUAACACUGUCUAAGUACAUAUGUAAUACAUCCAUCUUUGUCAAACACCAACCAACAAACAGAAAAAUAAAAUAAUGACUGUCUUACUCAUCCAAUGUACAAAAAUAUUGAGUAGAAUUAUUCAUAUCAAAGAGGAUCAAACUGAUAUUGAAAAUAUUGUAUUUUUUUUAAAAGAAACCCAUUUUCUAAAGCAUUGAUAGUUAAGUUGUCCUGAAUUUAAACCCCAUUUUUAUGGCUCUUGGUCUCCCUUUCUCAAGGCUUUAAGUCUAGCUUUUUUAUUUUAAUUUUAUUUUUUUAAGAUAGGUAUGUAAAAUUAUUCUGUCAAAAGUUGUCAUGAAACAUGUUAUAAUCAACAAACUGCUUAACUUUCAUGAGAUAUGUUAUGCUACUGUAUGUACAUUUAUGGCAAUGCAGUGAUCAUUAGGGUGUGAUCAAGCUGGUUUGUCCAAUUGAAAACCAGAACUGAGACAAAGUCCUCUGUAAAACUUGUAUGAGAAAGUAAGCCAAAAUAUGUCAACCCCCCAGAAUCCAUGAUAGACACAUACAGGGAACGCAUACAGAGAGGAGCACCAGGGGAUCCAUCUCACAUGGUCAUUCCAUCACCAUGACUGAGAAGUAUGGUUGAGCUAGUCAGCCUACAUGGCUACCAUUUUGUGUUUGUUAACCAACCUGGCCUAAUGAAACACAAUACUAAUGCCUUGUUGUAGCAAUGUUCCUGCACUUGCACUCCACAAGUAAUUUUACUUGUAUGUCCUUGGUUUUCACAUGGCAUAAGCUGGUGUGUGUGGUGAGUACAUCAAAGGAGAUAAUUACUUCUACACUAUAUAUACAAACGUAUGUGGACACCCCUUGAAAUUAGUGGCUAUUUCAGCCACACCCGUUGCGGGCAGGUGUAUAAAAUCGAGCACACAGCCAUGCAAUCUCCAUAGACAAACAUUGGCAGUAGAAUGGCCUUAGUGAUGAGCUCAGUGACUUUCACCGUGGCACCAUCAUAGGAUGCCACCUUUCCGACAAGUGAGUUCGUCAAAUUUCUGCCCUGCUAGAGCUGCCCAUGUUAAGUGCUGUUAUUGUGAAGUGGAAACGUCUAGGAGCAACAACAGCUCAGCCGCAAAGUGGUAGUGCGUAAGCAUCGGUCCUGGGCUGCAACACUCACUACAGUUCCUAGCUGCCUCUGGAAGCAAAGUCAGCACAAGAUCUUGUGAAUAACAAUCAUUACUUCUACUCCCCGUUAGCUGGUGUAGUUACAUUUUCUUUGCAAUAUUCCUUUCACAAAUUAGCACUCUGAAGUAUAGAAUAAUACAGUGCCUUGCAAAAGUACUCAUCCCCCUUGGCAUUUGUCCUAUUUUGUUGCAUUACAAUCUGUAACUUAAAUGGAUUUUUAUUUGGAUUUAAUCCAAUGGACAUACACAAAAUAGUCAAAAUUGGUGAACUGAAAUGAAAAUAAAUAAAAACAGAAAACUGGUGUGUGCAUAUGUAUUCACCCCCUUUGCUAGGAAGCCCCUAAAUAAGAUCUGGUGCAACCAAUUACCUUCAGAAGUCACAUAAUUAGUUAGAUAAAGUCCACCUGUGUGCAAUCUAAGUGUCACAUGAUCUGAGUAGAUAUACACCAGUUCUGAAAGGCCCCAGACUCUGCAACACCACUAAGCAAGGGGCACCACCAAGCACCACAAAGACCAAGGAGCUCUCCAAACAGGUCAGGGACAAAGUUGUGGAGACGUACAGAUCAGGGUUGGGUUAUAAAAAAAUAUCAGAAACUUUCAACAUCCCACAGAGCACCAUUAAAUCCAUUAUUAACAAAUUGAAAUAAUAUGGCACCACAACAAACCUGCCAAGAGUGGGCCACACACCAAAACUCAUGGACCAGGCAAUGAGUGUAUUAAUCAGAGGCAACAAAGAGCAAAGAUAACCCGAAGGAGCUGCAAAGUUCCACAGCAGAGAUUGGGGUAUCUGUCCAUAGGACCACUUUAAGCCAUUCCACAGAGCUGGUCUUUAUGGAAGAGUGGCCAGAAAAAAGCAAUUGCUUAAAGAAAAAAAAAGAACAAAUGUUUGGUGUUCGCAAAAGGCAUAUGGGAGACUCCCCAAACAUAUGGAAGAAGGUACUCUGGUCAGAUGAGACUAAAAUUGAGCUUUUUGGCCAUCAAGGAAACGCUAUGUCUGGUGCAAACCCAACACCUCACAUCAUCCCGAGAACACCAUUCUGUGGAGAUGUUUUUCAUCAGCAGGGACUGGGAAAUUGGUCAGAAUUGAAGGAAUGAUGGAUGGCGCUAAAUACAGGGAAAUUCUUGAAGGAAACCUGUUUUAGUCUUCCAGAGAUUUGAGACUGGGACGGAGGUUCACCUUCCAGCAGGACAAUGACCCUAAGCAUAUACUGCUAAAGCAACACUCAAGUGGUUUAAUGGAAAACAUUUACAUUUCUUGGAAUGGCCUAGUCAAAGCCCAGACCUCAAUCCAAUUGAGAAUCUGUGGUAUGAGUUAAAGAUUGCUGUAAACCAGCAGAAGUCAUCCAACUUGAAGGAGCUGGAGCAGUUUUGCCUUGAAGUGGCUAGAUGUGCCAAGCUUAGAGAGACAUACCCCAAGAGACUGGGGUAUGACUGGGGACUGUAAUUGCUGCAAAAGGUGGCUCUACAAAGUAUUGAUUUGAGGGGUUGAAUAGUUAUGCACACUCAAGUUUUCAGUUUUUUCUGUUGUAUCUUCAAAGUGGUAGGCAUGUUGUGUAAAUCAAAUGAUACAAACCCCCCAAAAAUCUAUUUUAAUUCCCGGUUGUAUGGCAACAAAAUAGGAAAAAUGCCAAGGGGGUGAAAACUUUCGCGGACCACUGUAACGAUGUUAUGUCAACUAAUGUGAGAGGACGGCUAAAUAAAUUCUGUGUAACAAUUACACAGUUCUGCUGUUUUUCCAUUUCAUAUUUUGAAUAAAAAUUGAGAAAUUGCAGUUUGGCACUAGAAUAAUACAUACAGGUGACUUUUAAACCAUCAUGAUGAUGCAAAAUGCAAUAUCAUCAUGAUGAUGAUGUGGCAAGUGACACGUUGCUUCUUGAAAAUCCUACAUCUUGAAAACUUGACUGGUAACAUUUUUGGACUGUUUCAACAGUAGACCAAUGAAAAAAAUAUCACUUGAGUGGAUUUUUCUUUUAAGCAUGGGCAAUUUAACAAUUUGUUUGCAACUCCCAGAGAAUAGUGACUGUGCGUAUGCUCUCUAAAAUUCAGCUUGACGGAUCAUACAAAAAAUAGAUACAUACGUUUUAAUAUCAUAUGAACAAACAAACGUGUUCAGGCCGUUUCCUUUUUGCGCUCUCUCACUCACAUAUACACACCAAUCAUAUGAUCAUUAGCCAAUUCUGCAAAGUCC